GGACUACCGGGGUAUCUAAUCCUGUUCGCUCCCCAUGCUUUCGCUCCUCAGCGUCAGUUAAUGCCCAGAGACCUGCCUUCGCCAUCGGUGUUCCUCCUGAUAUCUGCGCAUUUCACCGCUACACCAGGAAUUCCAGUCUCCCCUACAUCACUCUAGUCUGCCCGUACCCACUGCAGAACCGGAGUUGAGCCCCGGUCUUUCACAGCAGACGCGACAAACCGCCUACGAGCUCUUUACGCCCAAUAAUUCCGGAUAACGCUUGCGCCCUACGUAUUACCGCGGCUGCUGGCAC
rnacentral:rRNA from 1 species